AGGGUCCUAGGGACGCAGCAGUAGGGAAUCUUCCACAAUGGGCGAAAGCCUGAUGGAGCAACGCCGCGUGGGUGAAGAAGGUCUUCGGAUCGUAAAACCCUGUUGUUAGAGAAGAAAGUGCGUGAGAGUAACUGUUCACGUUUCGACGGUAUCUAACCAGAAAGCCACGGCUAACUACGUGCCAGCAGCCGCGGUAAUACGUAGGUGGCAAGCGUUAUCCGGAUUUAUUGGGCGUAAAGGGAACGCAGGCGGUCUUUUAAGUCUGAUGUGAAAGCCUUCGGCUUAACCGGAGUAGUGCAUUGGAA
rnacentral:rRNA from 1 species